rnacentral:rRNA from 1 species
AUUGAACGCUGGCGGCAGGCCUAACACAUGCAAGUCGAGCGGAUGAAGGGAGCUUGCUCCUGGAUUCAGCGGCGGACGGGUGAGUAAUGCCUAGGAAUCUGCCUGGCAGUGGGGGAUAACGUCCGGAAACGGGCGCUAAUACCGCAUACGUCCAGAGGGUGAAAGUGGGGGAUCUUCGGACCUCACGCUAUCAGAUGAGCCUAGGCCGGAUUAGCUAGUUGGUGGGGUAAAGGCCUACCAAGGCGACGAUCCGUAGCUGGUCUGAGAGGAUGAUCAGUCACACUGGAACUGAGACACGGUCCAGACUCCUACGGGAGGCAGCAGUGGGGAAUAUUGGACAAUGGGCGAAAGCCUGAUCCAGCCAUGCCGCGUGUGUGAAGAAGGUCUUCGGAUUGUAAAGCACUUUAAGUUGGGAGGAAGGGCAGUAAGUUAAUACCUUGCUGUUUUGACGGUACCAACAGAAUAAGCACCGGCUAACUUCGUG